rnacentral:rRNA from 1 species
UACGGAGGGUGCGAGCGUUGUCCGGAAUCACUGGGCGUAAAGGGCGCGUAGGCGGCCUGAUAAGUAGGGGGUGAAAUCCUGCGGCUUAACCGCAGGGCUGCCUUCUAAACUGUCAGGCUGGAGCACAGUAGAGGCAGGUGGAAUUCCCGGUGUAGCGGUGGAAUGCGUAGAGAUCGGGAGGAACACCAGUGGCGAAGGCGGCCAUCUGGCUCAACAUUGACGCUGAGGCACGAAAGCGUGGGGAGCAAACAGG